UACAGAGGUCUCAAGCGUUGUUCGGAAUCACUGGGCGUAAAGGGUGCGCAGGCGGCGUGGAAAGUCAGAUGUGAAAUCCGGGGGCUCAACCUCCGAAUUGCAUCCGAUACUCCCAUGCUAGAGAACUGGAGAGGAGUCUGGAAUUCUCGGUGUAGCAGUGAAAUGCAUAGAUAUCGAGAGGAACACUAGUGGCGAAGGCGAGACUCUGGACAGUAUCUGACGCUCAUGCACGAAGGCCAGGGUAGCGAACGGG
rnacentral:rRNA from 1 species